rnacentral:rRNA from 1 species
AUGGGGCUGGGGCUGUCACUCACGCUGUUGGCGGCCGCGCAGUAUCCGGCGCCGUUCACGCUGCCCGCCGACGCCGCCGUCUACGAGACGGUGGGGUUCCUGUGCGCCGGGCUAGCGUGGGCGCUGGUGGUGGUGCCGGCGAGGGGCAUGCGGCUGGACCGGCGGGUGUACGGGGUGGGCCUCGUCCUCAUCUACCUCACCUUCUUCGGCGUCCGCGUCCUCGACAGCCUCGGCCUCUGGUUCGGGUAG